rnacentral:tRNA from 1 species
UGUAAUGUAGUUUAUAAAAAAUGUUUAUUUUACACGUAAGAGAACUCAUUUGGAGCUUUACUG